AUUGAACGCUGGCGGCAGGCCUAACACAUGCAAGUCGAGCGAGCGGCGGAGGGGUGAGUAAUGUAUGGGGACUGCCCGUUAGAGGGGGAUAACACCUGGAAACGGUGGCUAAUACAGCAUACUAUCGGAUAACCCAUAUGGGAUUUGCUAGUGGGUGGGGUAACGGCUCACCAAGGCGACGCUCUCUAGCUGGUCUGAGAGGAUGAUCCGCCACACUGGGACUGAGACACGGCCCAGACUCCUACGGAGGCAGCAGUGGGGAAUAUUGCACAAUGGGCGCAAGCCUGAUGCAGCCAUGCCGCGUGUAUGAAGAAGGCCUUAGGGUUGUAAAGUACUUUCAGCGGGGAGGCGUUACCCGCAGAAGAAGCACCGGCUAACUCCGUGCCAGCAGCCGCGGUAAUUC
rnacentral:rRNA from 1 species